UACGUAGGUAGCGAGCGUUAUCCGGAAUUAUUGGGCGUAAAGGGUGCGUAGGCGGCUUGUUAAGUUUAAGGUGAAAGCGUGGGGCUCAACCCCAUAAAGCCUUAGAUACUGGCAAGCUAGAGUACUGGAGAGGGUAGUGGAAUUCCAUGUGUAGCGGUAAAAUGCGUAGAUAUAUGGAGGAACACCGGUGGCGAAGGCGGCUACCUAGACAGAGACUGACGCUGAUGCACGAAAGCGUGGGGAGCAAAUAGG
rnacentral:rRNA from 2 species